UACGGAGGGUGCGAGCGUUGUCCGGAAUCACUGGGCGUAAAGGGCGCGUAGGCGGCGCGGUAAGCGUGCGGUGAAAGCCCGGGGCUCAACCCCGGGUCGGCCGUGCGGACUGCCGGGCUCGAGCACUGUAGAGGCGGGUGGAAUUCCGGGUGUAGCGGUGGAAUGCGUAGAGAUCCGGAAGAAUACCAGUGGCGAAGGCGUUCUGCUGGGCCGUUGCUGACACUGAGGCGUGACAGCGUGGGGAGCAAACAGG
rnacentral:rRNA from 1 species